CGCCUUAUACAUGCAAGUCGAACGAAGUAGCAAUACUUAGUGGCAGACGGGUGAGUAACAUGUGGGUAUCUUCCCAUUGGUGAGGAAUAACACGAGGAAACUUGUGCUAAUACCUCAUAAGUCUUUACAGAGAAAGCUUUAUGCGCCAAUGGAUGAGCUCGCACUUGAUUAGUUUGUUGGUGGGGUAAUGGCCUACCAAGACUUUGAUCAAUAGCUGAUCUGAGAGGAUGAUCAGCCACAUUGGGACUGAGACACGGCCCAAACUCCUACGGGAGGCAGCAGUAGGGAAUAUUGCACAAUGGAGGAAACUCUGAUGCAGCGAUGCCGCGUGAGUGAAGAAGGCCCUUGGGUUGUAAAGCUCUUUCGUCGGGGAAGAAAAUGACUGUACCCGAAUAAGAAGGUCCGGCUAACUUCGUGCCAGCAGCCGCGGUAAUACGAAGGGACCUAGCGUAGUUCGGAAUUACUGGGCUUAAAGAGUUCGUAGGUGGUUAAAAAAGUUGGUUGUGAAAUCCCGAAGCUUAACUUCGGAACUGCAAUCAAAACUUUUUAGCUAGAGUAUGAUAGAGGAAAGCAGAAUUUCUAGUGUAGAGGUGAAAUUCGUAGAUAUUAGAAAGAAUACCAAUUGCGAAGGCAGCUUUCUGGAUCAUUACUGACACUGAGGAACGAAAGCAUGGGUAGCGAAGAGGAUUAGAUACCCUCGUAGUCCAUGCCGUAAACGAUGUGUGUUAGACGUUGGAAAUUUAUUUUCAGUGUCGCAGCGAAAGCAAUAAACACACCGCCUGGGGAGUACGAC
rnacentral:rRNA from 1 species